rnacentral:rRNA from 1 species
GACGAACGCUGGCGGCGUGCUUAACACAUGCAAGUCGAACGGAAAGGCCCCUUUGGGGGUACUCGAGUGGCGAACGGGUGAGUAACACGUGAGUAACCUGCCCUUGACUUCGGGAUAACUUCAGGAAACUGGGGCUAAUACCGGAUAGGAAUCCUUGCUGCAUGGUGGGGGUUGGAAAGCUUCGGCGGUUUUGGAUGGACUCGCGGCUUAUCAGCUUGUUGGUGGGGUAGUGGCUUACCAAGGCUUUGACGGGUAGCCGGCCUGAGAGGGCGACCGGCCACAGUGGGACUGAGAUACGGCCCAGACGCCUACGGGAGGCAGCAGGGGGGAAUAUUGCACAAUGGGCGGAAGCCUGAUGCAGCAACGCCGCGUGCGGGAUGACGGCCUUCGGGUUGUAAACCGCUUUCAGCAGGGGCGAAGCUUGUGGUGACGGUACCUGCAGAAGAAGCACCGGCUAACUACGUG